rnacentral:rRNA from 1 species
UACGAAGGGGGCUAGCGUUGCUCGGAAUCACUGGGCGUAAAGGGCGCGUAGGCGGACUCUUAAGUCAGGGGUGAAAGCCUGAGGCUCAACCUCAGAACUGCCUUUGAUACUGAGAGUCUCGAGACCGGUAGAGGUAAGUGGAACUGCGAGUGUAGAGGUGAAAUCCGUAGAUAUUCGCAAGAACACCAGUGGCGAAGGCGGCUUACUGGACCGGUUCUGACGCUGAGGCGCGAAAGCGUGGGGAGCAAACAGG